CCUACGGGUGGCAGCAGUGGGGAAUAUUGCACAAUGGGGGAAACCCUGAUGCAGCGACGCCGCGUGAGUGAAGAAGUACUUCGGUAUGUAAAGCUCUAUCAGCAGGGAAGAAAAUGACGGUACCUGAGUAAGAAGCCACGGCUAACGACGUGCCAGCAGCCGCGGUAAUACGUCGGGGGCAAGCGUUAUCCGGAGUUACUGGGGGUAAAGGGAGUGUAGACGGCAGUGCAAGGAUGGAGUGAAAGGCGGGGGCUCAACCCCCGGACUGCGCUGGAAACUGGACGGCUGGAGUGCAGGAGAGGUAAGUGGAAUUCCUAGUGUAGCGGUGAAAUGCGUAGAUAUUAGGAGGAACACCAGUGGCGAAGGCGGCUUACUGGACUGUAACUGACGUUGAGGCUCGAAAGCGUGGGGAGCAAACAGGAUUAGAUACCCUUGUAGUC
rnacentral:rRNA from 1 species